rnacentral:lncRNA from 1 species
CCGCCUGGCCUCCAGCCACCUCGGCCGUUCGCGCUCCGAGCCGCGGAUCCCUGCGGGGGCACAGCGCACCCGGGCCGCCUCGGGGGCCACCAGGAGACCCCCCCGGCGCUGACCCCCCGGCGGGGCCCGGCCCGGGGCGGGGAGCCGAGCGGCCUCGGGGGCUUAAAGUCGCUAUUAUGCAGCCGCCGCCGCCGCCGCCGCCGCCGCCGCCGCCGGCCCGGCCAGCUCGGCAAGGUGGGGUCCCCUCCUCGCCGCGCCUCCCCGCGCUCGCCCCGGCCCCGCUCCCUUUCUUCUCCUCCUCGCGCACUUGGGAGCCGCCGGGGAGCCCCGGGGGCCCCCGGCUCCGGGCUCGCAACUCCCCGAGCGGCCGGCGCGGGUCGGGGUCCGGCGGGGUCGGCCGCCCCCCGCGCCGCGUGCUCGCGCCGCCCCCGCCCCCGCCCCCGCCCCACGCGGCGGCCCCCGCGCACUUUCCCCGCCGCCGGCCCACCUCGCCCGGCCGCCGUCCGCGCCGCGCCGGGAGGGACGCACUUUGUUCGCGCCGGUGCGGCCGCCGCUCCCGGCGAGCGCGGCGUGGUCGGUCCGGGGCGGGGGCGGGGGCGGGGGCGGGGGCGGGGGUCGCCGCCGUCCCCGAGCCGCCGCCGCCGCCGCCGCCGCUCAGCCGCCCCGCGCCCGCGCGCCCAUCGCCCACUCGCACUUGAGUUGGAGCCCAACUUUUCCUCCUUCCUUUUUCUUUCGAUCGGAGCCGGCAACUCGUGCUCGGCGCCGGCGGGAGGAAACGCGCUCGCGCUCCCCCGCGCGCAGACACGCUCCCUCCUGUCCCCGUCCCCGUCCCCGUCCCCGUCCCCGUCCCCGUCCCCCCCACGCCGGCAGCACAACAAAAAGCCAUUUACAUGCGAGGAAGUGACCCUCGGCCGGACCGCGCGCCCCCGCCGCCGCCGGCCCCGCGGACGCAGGCAAAAGUUGGGGCGCGGGCGGCGCUCGGGGCGCGGGUUCGGGGCCCGCGGGCGGCGGUGGAGGCGGGGGCGGCGGCGGCGGCGGCGACACGGCCCGGGCGGCGCUGCGCUCCUGCGCCCACCCGGCCCCCGGCCCCCGCCCCCGGCCCCGGCCCCGGCCCCCGCCCGCCCGCGCCCCGCGCCCCGCACACGCCCAACUCCUCGCUCCCAACUCCUCGCGCGGCCCCGGCCCCGGCCCCUGCCCCGGCCCCGGCCCCGGCCCGGAGCGAUUUCCUGCCGCCGCCCCUCCCGGAGGCGCCCGGCGAACUCUCGCGCUCACCGGGUCGGUCGGGAGGCUCCUCCGCUGCCCCGCGCCGAGGGCACAGCACAACGCAGGACGGGCUCCGGAGUUGGCUCGGCGGCCGCGGCCGGGGGGCUCAUCCACGGGCGCGGAGUUGGCCGGCGCGGACGGGGCUCUGGCGAGUUUCAGGGUCUCCGGGUCCCCGGGCCGCCUCCUCAGCGGCGCUCCUUUGUGUAA